AUCUGCCCACCUCAGCCUCUCAAAGUGGUGGGAUUACAGGUGUGAGCCACCACACCCAGCCAACAGCGAUUAUUAGUUAAUAAUAGACAUCGUCAUUACACAGCCCAGAAGGCUUUAUCUGAAACCCCUGGGGCCAGAGGUAUUUCACAGCUCAGACAUUCUGGACUUUAGAAAGGUCUGAUGGUGCUGACACCACACAGCAUGGAACACACACAGCAAGGGCCGGGGCAGCCCCCUUAGUCACACACAUCACUGCUCCCACCCUGCGAUUCAGAACAUUCCCGUGAGCUGGAGUGAGCAAAGACUAGCAAGAGUACUAGCUGGCGUCCUGGGGAGGUGUUGAUACCGGUGUUGCCAUCCCCACUGUGCAGAUGGGAAAACUGAGGCACAGAGGAUUAACUACAUGCCUGAGGGAACACAGCUAAAAACACAAGGAAGCCGCUUGCUCGUGGUCUACCUCCUGGGCACCAUUGGUGCGUCCCCAUGUGGCCCCUGUGGCAUGCCCCCUCCUCUGGGGAAGCUUUCUGGAGGUUGGAAGUCUAAAAUCAAUAUAACUGG
rnacentral:lncRNA from 1 species